rnacentral:rRNA from 1 species
GAUGAACGCUGGCGGCGUGCCUAAUACAUGCAAGUCGAGCGAACAGACGAGGAGCUUGCUCCUCUGACGUUAGCGGCGGACGGGUGAGUAACACGUGGAUAACCUACCUAUAAGACUGGGAUAACUUCGGGAAACCGGAGCUAAUACCGGAUAAUAUAUUGAACCGCAUGGUUCAAUAGUGAAAGAUGGUUUUGCUGUCACUUAUAGAUGGAUCCGCGCCGCAUUAGCUAGUUGGUAGGUAACGGCUUACCAAGGCAACGAUGCGUAGCCGACCUGAGAGGGUGAUCGGCCACACUGGAACUGAGACACGGUCCAGACUCCUACGGGAGGCAGCAGUAGGGAAUCUUCCGCAAUGGGCGAAAGCCUGACGGAGCAACGCCGCGUGAGUGAUGAAGGUCUUCGGAUCGUAAAACUCUGUUAUUAGGGAAGAACAAAUGUGUAAGUAACUAUGCACGUCUUGACGGUACCUAAUCAGAAAGCCACGGCUAACUACGUG